rnacentral:rRNA from 1 species
GUGAGGUAACGGCUCACCAAGGCAUCGACGGGUAGCUGGUCUGAGAGGAUGAUCAGCCACACUGGGACUGAGACACGGCCCAGACUCCUACGGGAGGCAGCAGUGGGGAAUAUUGCACAAUGGGCGCAAGCCUGAUGCAGCGAUGCCGCGUGCGGGAUGAAGGCCCUAGGGUUGUAAACCGCUUUCAGUAGGGAAGAAAAUGACGGUACCUACAGAAGAAGGUGCGGCCAACUACGUGCCAGCAGCCGCGGUGACACGUAGGCACCAAGCGUUAUCCGGAUUUAUUGGGCGUAAAGAGCUCGUAGGCGGUUUCGUAAGUCGGGUGUGAAAACUCUGGGCUCAACCCAGAGAGGCCACUCGAUACUGCGAUGACUAGAGUACGGUAGGGGAGCGGGGAAUUCCUGGUGUAGCGGUGAAAUGCGCAGAUAUCAGGAGGAACACCAGCGGCGAAGGCGCCGCUCUGGGCCGUAGCUGACGCUGAGGAGCGAAAGCAUGGGUAGCAAACAGGAUUAGAUACCCUGGUAGUCCAUGCCGUAAACGUUGGGCACUAGGUGUGGGUCUCAACCAACGAGAUCCGCGCCGUCGCUAACGCAUUAAGUG